GACGAACGCUGGCGGCGUGCCUAACACAUGCAAGUCGAACGGAAAGACCCUGCUUUUGUGGGGUUCUCGAGUGGCGCACGGGUGUGUAACACGUGAGUAACCUGCCCUUGACUUUGGGAUAACUUCACGAAACUGCGGCUAAUACCGGAUAGGAGCUCCUGCUGCAUGGUGGGCGUUGGAAAGUGUCGGCGGUGGUGGAUGGACUCGCGGCUUAUCGGCUUGUUGGUCGGGUAGUGGCAUACCAAGUCUUUGACGGGUAGCCUGCCUGAGAGGGUGACCGGGCACAUUGCGCCUGCGGUACGCAGCAGAGUGCUACGGGAGGCAGCAGUGGGGAAUAUGGCACAAUGGGCGGAAGCCUGAUGCAGCGACGCUGGGUGCGGGAUGACGGCCUUCGGGUUGUAAACCGCUGUCGCCUGUGACGAAGCGGGAGUGACGGUAAUGGGUAAAGAAGCACCGGCUAACUACGUG
rnacentral:rRNA from 1 species